rnacentral:rRNA from 1 species
UCCGUAGGUGAACCUGCGGAAGGAUCAUUCACGCAAUUUUUCGUGACGUCGACCGUCGUCUUCUGCGGAAGGUGGCACAAUUCUUAACGUUAUUGGAAAGCCGUUGUCAGUGGAAACACGUAACAGUGGAUUACCUCCGGCUUCCUCUAUAAUAGCUAACCAAAUCAUAAGCUCAUGACGAUUGAUGCCUUGGUUCGGAAAUCGAUGAAGGACGCAGCAAAGUGCGAUAAGCACUGUGACUUGCAGAAUUCAGCGAAUCAGCAGAUUUCUCAACGCAAAAGGUGCUAGGUAGACUUGUCUUCCUGGCAGGCACAUUUCAACGUCGUUACAUUUGCAAUCAUGAUUUUGUGAGAGCUUCCGCUCAAUCAAUUUCUUGAUGUGCAUUUUGUCAGGCAACUGACGGUUGAUCCGCUACUUCAACUGGCGGAUGGAUACAGCCCAGCAUUACUUACUUGUAUCUAAUGUUCACGGGUGAAAUACAACAUCGACUUGAAAUGUGCCAGACUACCCGCUGAAUUUAAGCAUAUCAAUAAGCGGAGGGAAGUCGGACU